rnacentral:lncRNA from 1 species
CGGUGUACUAGUUCAACUUUCAGAUACCUCAGUUGGUGAGUAUAUUGAGCCAAAUAAAUUCCACGGUAUACCAUUUUCUUUCACAUCUUAUGAGUGUAUCCAUGCUUUCUAUAUUUUCUAGAACUUGCGACUAUUCUAUACUGUUGAUUGGUUUUGCAUUUACACACAUAGAGGCACAUUUGUUUGGUGCUUUGAGCCUUUUCAAGCUACCCCGUUAU